GGGGGGGGGGGGUUAUAGCUAUUUAUUUUUGAUACACUGUUGGUUCAACCUCUCAGGAUGUCUAUUUAAAAUGAAGCAGAUUGACGUCUGGAAAUAUUGACGUUUCGUCCCACUUAUAGCUGAAUCUUAGGUUGCAUUCAAUGAGAUCUGGUUUCGUCCCACUUAUAGCUGAAUCUUAGGUUGCAUUCAAUGAGAUCUGGUUUCGUCCACUUAUAGCUGAAUCUUAGGUUGCAUUCAAUGAGAUCUGGUUUCGUCCCACUUAUAGCUGAAUCUUAGGUUGCAUUCAAUGAGAUCUGGUUUCGUCCCACUUAUAGCUGAAUCUUAGGUUGCAUUCAAUGAGAUCUGGUUUCGUCCCACUUAUAGCUGAAUCUUAGGUUGCAUUCAAUGAGAUCUGGUUUCGUCCCACUUAUAGCUGAAUCUUAGGUUGCAUUCAAUGAGAUCUGGUUUCGUCCCACUUAUAGCUGAAUCUUAGGUUGCAUUCAAUGAGAUCUGAUUAUAUUGUUUUGCACCUCAUUUUAAAGCUCUCCCAAGAAACAUUAUUCCCUAAACUCAUGUUAUUUCAAUAUUAAUCAUGUCUGAUGAAAAGACAAAAGGAACUGAUAUAAAAUGUAGAUAUAAUGAUUCUUCUUCAACAUAACAGAAAGAAAAGAUGAAUGAAAAGCUAUCAGGCGAAGCAAUGAAUGGGAUUCUAUCAGGUGAAGCAAUGAAUGGGAUUCUAUCAGGCGAAGCAAUGAAUGGGAUUCUAUGAGGCAUAGCGACCCUACAUCACACAGCAUUAUUAUGACAAGGCCUGAAUGACUAAAAACCUUCCCUGAAGAAACCUUCCCUACAUCACACAGCAUUAUUAUGACAAGGCCUGAAUGACUAAAAACCUUCCCUGAAGAAACCUUCCCUACAUCACACAGCAUUAUUAUGACAAGGCCUGAAUGCCUAAAAACCUUCCCUGAAGAAACCUUCCCUACAUCACACAGCAUUAUUAUGACAAGGCCUGAAUGCCUAAAAACCUUCCCUGAAGAAACCUUCCCUGCAUCCCAAGUGGCACCCCUAUUCUCUAUGGGCCCUAAUCAAAAGUUGUGCACUAUAUAGGGAAUAGGGUGCCAUUUGGGUACAAAGACCUUUCUGUAUAAUAUGUUCUAAAUCGUAGUUGCUGGUUUGUAGGUUAAAAAAAGAAUUAACCCGGAGCAGACAGACAGACAGGCUAGCUGUCUUGAGAGUAGCUCAUCACAAUGCUGUCUAGAUCCUUGUAUAAAGUAGCAGACCGUCUGUACAGUUGGUUGUGUUGUGAAUAUUCCUCGUAUCGUUUAAACAUGGCGUCAGUUCAUGUUGUGUGUGUGUGUGUGUGUGUGUACCAUUGAGAUUGUACAGUAGAGCCUGGAGGAGGGAACAGCAUAUAGUUUGUAUGCCAUCUCAGCCACCUAUGUUUUCUAGGGCAAAGGGAAAACUCCACUGGAAAACAAACGCCAUCUUGUAUUCGGUUGUUUCCGGAAAGAGGUGGUAACCUUUUCUCCAUGGUCUCUCGAACCAAGAUGGAGGGAGUGUUCAUGAGAGAGACUGUAUGGGUUUUGUACAUUACCUUCUUCAAAACAUGAUGUUGCAUUUCUGAUCAUCCUUUUGCAUGAAACUAGGCUGAUGGAUGUGUCUGUGAACAAUACGAACAGUGAUCUUUCUAUGUCAUGUGUUGAACUGAGCAGGAGAUCCCUUCAACUGAAUCUGAGCUGGCCAGCUUCCUGAUCUAAACAGGAGAAGGUCUAGAAGUUGGACUAAACUAAAAAACAACUGAAGAAACUGCACACAAUAAGCAAUACUGGCCAGAUCCUGCUGAGAUCCUGGGGAUAAAGUGAGAGAAUUGAAUAAAAUGUCAACAUCCUGACCCUGUAAGAGGUCUGCAGUGGCCAAGACACUGACCUUUCCAGACUACAGAUUUUGGGACGUGGCAUUUCUCUGUCUGAUCUUCUCUGAGCCCCUAGCCACGGAAACAGACCGGGCUACAGAAGAAACAGUGUUGGUUGGCAUUCGUCCCAUUGUUACUGAAGACAAUGCAGAUCUUCAGUAGCUCUCACUACCUUAGUAUUUCAAAAUCUAUCUGUAUCUACAUAUGAAUAGUACGUUCAGUUUGAAUCUUCUCUCCAAUGGCUCCCAUUAUGUUAGUGUUUCUACUCUAUAUACAAAAAUCACACAUUUAUUUUAACUUUGUUCAAUUUAAACAUUAAAAAAUACUAGCUUUAAUAAACAAAUACUAAGAUGA